rnacentral:rRNA from 1 species
UACGGGGGGAGCAAGCGUUGUUCGGAUUUACUGGGCGUAAAGGGCGCGUAGGCGGCCACCGCAAGUCGGUUGUGAAAUCUCUGGGCUUAACCCAGAAAGGUCAACCGAUACUGCGGGGCUAGAGUGCAGAAGGGGCAACUGGAAUUCUCGGUGUAGCGGUGAAAUGCGUAGAUAUCUGGAGGAACAUCAGUGGCGAAGGCGACACCCUGGACUCAUACUGACACUGAGGUGCGAAAGCGUGGGGAGCAAACAGG